UUUGCACUUUUUCUCUCCCAAGAAGACACCCUCAAAAACUAAUUUUCCUUUCCUUUCCUUCGAACCAAACAAACAAACCCAACCCCUUCCCGUAAUAUUCUCCAAUUUCUUCUCUGAAUCCGAUCCAAUUCCUUUUUCGAUUUCUAAAAAAAAAAAAAAAAAAAAAAAUCCAAAAAUUCUCCAAUUUCAAUUUUUUUUUUUUCAACUACCAUGGGAGAAGAAGUGAAAAUGAGUGAAUACGAAAUCAACGAUGAAGAUAACAUCAACAGGGACGAUGAAAGAAUUGAUGUGUGGGAGAUGGGAUUACCUACACCUUAUGAUCUCACUCCUUUAUCACAACCGUUGAUCCCACCUGAACUUGCUUCCGCCUUCAACAUCUCCCCUGAGCCUCACCGUACUCCGCUCGAUGUCAACCGAGCUUCCCAGAACACUCUCUCCAAUCUCCACGGUCAUUUAAACGCCCUAUCGUCUAACAACUUCAAGUUCUUCAACGAAACGACAGGUCAAACGAACGACCCUAUGGUAGUCGAGUUAGAGGAGGAGGAGGAGGAGGAGGAGGAGGAUGAUGUGACCGAGGCGAUGGAUCGGGACGGGUCCGGAUCCGAAGCCAGGAAGUUGAGGAGGAUUGAUUCUGAAGAGGCGGAUUCAGCCUUGAGGACUGAGAAUUGGGUGGAUGACCCGUCAUCUGCUGCGGCGAGGACUUUGAAACGGCCACGGCUGGUGUGGACCCCGCAGUUGCAUAAGAGAUUUGUUGAUGUGGUGGGCCACUUAGGGAUGAAAAACGCGGUCCCGAAAACAAUUAUGCAGUGGAUGAAUGUCGAGGGUUUGACUCGCGAAAAUGUAGCUAGUCAUUUGCAAAAGUACCGGCUUUAUUUGAAGAGGAAACAGGGGUUUUCGAGUGAAGGACCCUCUGCUUCUGAUCAGUUGUUUGCGUCCACUCCUGUGCCGCAGAGUUUGCACGAGAGCGGCGGCGGAAGCUGUGGGGGUGGGAAUUUCGGAAUGCCAAUUCCAGUGCCUUAUCAUCAUCCCGCCACCACGGCUGGUGGGAUGAUGCCAAUGCCGGUUUAUGGACAUAUGGGGAUCCAAAUGGUGAAUGAUCAUGUUCAUAAUAAUAAUAAUAGCAAUAAUUAUCAGCAUCAGCAAGUUAGUAUGAAUAGUCAUCAAAAUGGGUAUAAUGGAAAUGUUGCUUUGCUAAUGGGGAAUAAGCGUGUUCAUAGUAGUAGUAAUAAGCAUCAGCAUCAGCAUCAGCAUCAGCAUCAGCAAGUUAGUACGAAUAGUCAUCAAAAUGGGUAUAAUGGAAAUGUUGCUUAUGGACAUGUGUUUCAGCAGAGGGAUUGGAAUCGGACUGAUUAUGGUCCAUACUCGCAUCAUCCUCAUCAUGCAGUAUCUAAUGAUAAUAUGUGAUGUUGGGAGGAGAUAUUUUUUUUGGAAUUCUAUAGGAAAAGAGGUCAGUGCUGCUUUCAGUUGGAGUUGUUGGAUAUAAAUUAGUUGUCAAUUUCUGUUAUUAUCUGUCUGAAAGUGUAUUCAUGAAUUAGAAAUGAAGCUCUGUAGCUUUAAAUUAAAGUAUGACUUGGGAAAAAUUCUAAUUUUGAAUUAGCCCUUGUUAAUAUUUGAUUUUGAUGAGUGUGCAUAUAUAGAAUCGGCGGAGCUUGCUUUUCAUUGCUUAAAGUCACUUGUAGAACAGGUGCCUUCCACUGCAAAUGCAUUGCACCAGGGACCAGUGCUUUAAACUGGUUCUUCGUCAAUUGCAAUAUUUCUUCAAGGUCACAAUUGAUGCUAUUCCUAGGUUUGAGAUACUCCUUGCAAAUAUAUUCCUCAACAUGCCAUUGUGUUUUAUUUGUUUGCUUUACAAUUGAUUUUAUGAACACCAAUUUAUCAAAUGUAUCAAUUGUCUGUAUCAAUGGCAAUUAACAUAUACCAUUCACCUGAAGCCUUAAAACAUUUGAUAGAUGUAUUUGAGCACUCAUUUUCCUCCAAACAGACAUCUAGAAGACCAAGUUAACUAUACACUCAUCUUCUUCCAAAUCCUCAAUCCCAAGCUAGUUGGGGUCAGCUAUAUAUUUAUUUUCACAUUUUAUUGGAGCCUCUAAUUUUUUUUGGUAGAAAACAACUAAGUUCAAUUUAUGAGCUUUUUAGCUUGCACUUUUGUCUGCGUGCAACGAGAAUUUGUGUUUAAAUUCUGUUGUGAAAACUGAAGAGGGUAAAAAAUAUGUACACUGUUACAGGUUCUAAGUGACAGGGAAGGAAUCCCCCUCUCCUUUAACUCCUAAAUGUGCACACAAACAAUCACCUAGAAUAUCUAGAAAUCUGAAAUUUUAAGAUACCAUCACAUCAGGUAGGGAGAUGGACAUACAAUGUCAUCCUCUAUCAAGCCUGCACAAAGACUUCAAGAUGAUAAUACCACAACAUUAUGCUUACACUCUGUGCACUUGCAAACUAUUGGCUGAUAAUAAUUGUUGUAAUUGGGGGAGUGAAGGAGUUGUACAUUUAGGGUUAAUGUGCAUGGCAGCAUCGCUUUUAACCUGAAAAAUUAAACCUUUUCUUGAAUACUUAAUACUUGCAUGGCCAUGAUCUGUAAAGAGUUCGAAUGCGAAACAAAAAAAUACAACUUAACUAGAUGAAAGCUUGUAGAUAUCUGUCAAUUUGCACCCUUGAACUGAAGUAGGCUCUUCUAUAGAUACCGGAAGGUGCAUGCUGUUGCAUCUGUCAUCGUCUCACUUUUAUCUCAAACUUUUUUGGUUUGCCUUUAUGUAUUUUAUAUGAUGUUCUGUAUUGAUCUGUAUGUAAGAUACUUUUGGGUUGACAAUUUUUUCUUUCUCGUUUUUCAUUUUCAUGAUGUUAUUAUGUGAUAGUUUAUGUGCAGAAUGAUUUAGUGCGCUUAGAAGUUUGCUUUUCUUUCUCUGACACAAGUCAGGUACUGAACUUUUUCCAGCAAAAAAAUAGGUAUUUUAAUUUCCAAGUUUUGAUCAGCACUUGUGCUAGAGUGUUCUUUAUUCAUUUUCUUUUAUUUUUCUUGUAUUGAGAAUGAAUUCUAGAGUCUAAUUUGCUGACUAAUGUGAUCUCUUUUGAGAUGGUUUUGAUGCCCUUUGAUUUAGACUUGUAGUGAUGUCGAACUUACAGGUUUGCGGUCCACCUAUGUUUCGAUAAGGUCCCCUUUAUUUGUUCUAAGAUUUACAUCCCUGAUUCUGGAGAUUGAGUAACCUGGCAUAACUGUUGGAAGUUGCAGAAAUUUAAGCACUCACAAAAUUUAGAGGGUUUGCAGGAAGAAUUGUGUGGAGACAUAUCCGAGGCAUAUUUCCAGAGAUUGUUAGGUUCUGCAGGGGUCAGGAAAACUUGCAAUCCUUUUUUGAAUAUAUAUCUCAUUGUACUUACCUGAUGGUAGCAGGAACCUCAAGAUAUUACUUAUCAUUGCUUCCAUGAUGAUUAGUAAUAGCUCACAUUCUUUACUUGUUCUUCAAUUGAUAUAUGCUGAAUAAAGUGUGUAUUAUUGGAUGUGGCAAA